rnacentral:rRNA from 1 species
UUUUCGCAAUGCCCGAAAGGGUGACGAAGCGACGCCGCGUGGGUGAGGAAGGCCUUCGGGUUGUAAAGCCCUGUCAGGAGUUAAGAAAUGUAAGUGCGCUAAUAUCGCAUUUAUUUGACGAAGGCUCCAGAGGAAGUCACGGCUAACUCUGUGCCAGCAGCCGCGGUAAUACAGAGGUGGCAAGCGUUGUUCGGAAUUAUUGGGCGUAAAGAGCACGUAGGUGGGUUUGUAAGUCAGAUGUGAAAGCCUUCUGUUCAACGGAAGAAUUGCAUCUGAAACUGCGAGUCUUGAGUGUAGGAGGGGAGAAUGGAACUUCUGGUGGAGCGGUGAAAUGCGUAGAUAUCAGAAGGAACGCCGGCGGCGAAAGCGAUUCUCUGGCCUAUUACUGACACUCAGUGUGCGAAAGCUAGGGGAGCAAACGGGAUUAGAUACCCCGGUAGUCCUAGCCGUAAACGAUGGGCACUAAGUAGAGGGGUUUUA